CUUUUAGCAGGGAAGAAGCGAAAGUCGACGGUACCUGCAGAAAAAGCGCCGGCUAACUACGUGCCAGCAGCCGCGGUAAUACGUAGGGCGCAAGCGUUAUCCGGAAUUAUUGGGCGUAAAGAGCUCGUAGGCGGUUUGUCGCGUCUGCUGUGAAAUCCCGAGGCUCAACUUCGGGUCUGCAGUGGGUACGGGCAGACUAGAGUGCGGUAGGGGAGAUUGGAAAUCCUGGUGUAGCGGUGGAAUGCGCAGAUAUCAGGAGGAACACCGAUGGCGAAGGCAGAACUCUGGGCCGUAACUGACGCUGAGGAGCGAAAGGGUGGGGAGCAAACAGGCAUAGAUACCCUGGUAGUCCACCCCGUAAACGUUGGGAACUAGUUGUGGGGUCCAUUCCACGGAUUCCGUGACGCAGCUAACGCAUUAAGUUCCCCGCCUGGGGAGUACGGCCGCAAGGCUAAAACUCAAAGGAAUUGACGGGGACCCGCACAAGCGGCGGAGCAUGCGGAUUAAUUCGAUGCAACGCGAAGAACCUUACCAAGGCUUGACAUAUACGAGAACGCUGCAGAAAUGUAGAACU
rnacentral:rRNA from 1 species